GAUAAGUGCUUUGGCUGUCGCAGAGGAUGAGCCUGCGUUGGAUUAGCUAGUUGGUGGGGUAAGGGCUUACCAAGGUUACGAUCCAUAGCUGAUUUGAGAGGAUGAUCAGCCACAUUGGGAAUGAGACACGGCCCAAAUUCUUACGGGAGGCAGCAGUGAGGAAUAUUGGACAAUGGGGGCAACCCUGAUCCAGCAAUGCCAUGUGUGUGAAGAAGGCCUUAGGGUUGUAAAGCACUUUAGUUGGGGAAGAAAGCUUUGAGGUUAAUAGCCUUGAGGAAGGACGUUACCCAAAGAAUAAGCACCGGCUAACUCCGUGCCAGCAGCCGCGGUAAUACGGGGGGUGCAAGCGUUAAUCGGAAUUACUGGGCGUAAAGGGUCUGUAGGUGGUUUGUUAAGUCAGAUGUGAAAGCCCAGGGCUCAACCUUGGAACUGCAUUUGAUACUGGCAAACUAGAGUACGGUAGAGGAAUGGGGAAUUUCUGGUGUAGCGGUGAAAUGCGUAGAGAUCAGAAGGAACACCAAUGGCGAAGGCAACAUUCUGGACCGAUACUGACACUGAGGGACGAAAGCGUGGGGAUCAAACAGGAUUAGAUACCCUGGUAGUCCAUGCUGUAAACGAUGAGUACUAGCUGUUGGAGUCGGUGUAAAGGCUCUAGUGGCGCAGCUAACGCGAUAAGUACUCCGCCUGGGGACUACGGCCGCAAGGCUAAAACUCAAAGGAAUUGACGGGGACCCGCACAAGCGGUGGAGCAUGUGGUUUAAUUCGAUGCAACGCGAAGAACCUUACCUGGUCUUGACAUCCUGCGAGCUUUCUAGAGAUAGAUUGGUGCCUUCGGGAACGCAGUGACUAGGUGCUGCACGGCUGUUGUCAGCUCGUGUUGUGAAAUGUUGGGUUAAGUCCCGCAACGAGCGCAACCCCUAUUGAUAGUUACCAUCAUUAAGUUGGGUACUCUAUUGAGACUGCCGCUGACAAGGCGGAGGAAGGUGGGGACGACGUCAAGUCAUCAUGGCCCUUACGACCAGGGCUACACACGUGCUACAAUGGUAUACAGAGG
rnacentral:rRNA from 1 species